UGCUAAGUAUUUAAAGGGGUGCACCGGGGAGAUUUGAUUCAUUCAGAUUUCCAAUUUCUUCUUUUCUUCUAACAUUCUCUCCCUAUUAUCUAAUUAGUCUCUUCCUUCUCUUAUUAGGACAAGUCCAAAAAUAGUAAAGAUAAGUUUGAUUUUAGGACAAGAGCCUAGGAAGAGAAUUAAGGAAGACAAGGAGAAAAGAAAGGUAGGGAUAGGAAGGCUA
rnacentral:lncRNA from 1 species